AUUGAACGCUGGCGGCGUGCUUUACACAUGCAAGUCGGACGAGUGGCGAACGGGUGAGUAACGCAUCGGAACGUACCGAGUGAUGGGGGAUAACUGUCCGAAACGGUAGCUAAUACCGCAUACUAUUCGAGCGGCCGAUGUCUGAUUAGCUGGUUGGCGGGGUAAAGGCCCACCAAGGCGACGAUCAGUAGCGGGUCUGAGAGGAUGAUCAGCCACACUGGGACUGAGACACGGCCCAGACUCCUACGGGAGGCAGCAGUGGGGAAUUUUGGACAAUGGGCGCAAGCCUGAUCCAGCCAUGCCGCGUGUCUGAAGAAGGCCUUCGGGUUGUAAAGGACUUUUGUCAGGGAAGCGGUACCUGAAGAAUAAGCACCGGCUAACUACGUGCCAGCAGCCGCGGUAAUAC
rnacentral:rRNA from 1 species